rnacentral:rRNA from 1 species
CAGCAGCCACGGGAAUACGUAGGUGGCAAGCGUUGUCCGGAAUUACUGGGCGUAAAGCGGGCGCAGACGGUUACUUAAGCAGGAUGUGAAAUCCCCGGGCUCAACCUGGGAACUGCGUUCUGAACUGGGUGACUAGAGUGUGUCAGAGGGAGGUAGAAUUCCGCGUGUAGCAGUGAAAUGCGUAGAGAUGUGGAGGAAUACCGAUGGCGAAGGCAGCCUCCUGGGAUAACACUGACGUUCAUGCCCGAAAGCGUGGGUAGCAAACAGGAUUAGAUACCCCAGUAGUCCCUGUCUCUUAUAC